GGGCGCAAGCCUGAUGCAGCCAUGCCGCGUGUGUGAAGAAGGCCUUCGGGUUGUAAAGCACUUUCAGCGGGGAGGAAGGCGAUAAGGUUAAUAACCUCAUCGAUUGACGUUACCCGCAGAAGAAGCACCGGCUAACUCCGUGCCAGCAGCCGCGGUAAUACGGAGGGUGCAANMNWWAAUNGGAAUUACUGGGCGUAAAGCGCACGCAGGCGGUCUGUCAAGUCGGAUGUGAAAUCCCCGGGCUCAACCUGGGAACUGCAUUCGAAACUGGCAGGCUAGAGUCUUGUAGAGGGGGGUAGAAUUCCAGGUGUAGCGGUGAAAUGCAUAGAGAUCUGGAGGAAUACC
rnacentral:rRNA from 1 species